UAUGAAGGUUAAGGUUAUGAUAUAAUGUGCCCAGUGGGCCACUUUUGGUAAGCAGAAUUGGCGCUGUGGGAUGAACCAAACGUAAUGUUACGGUGCCAAAAUUAACAACUCAUACAGAUACCAUGAAAGGCGUUGGUUGCUUAAAACAGCAGGACGGUGGACAUGGAAGUCGUAAUCCGCUAAGGAGUGUGUAACAACUCACCUGCCGAAGCAACUAGCCCUUAAAAUGGAUGGCGCUUAAGUUGUAUACCUAUACAUUACCGCUAAAGUAAAUGAUUUAUAUUCAAUUUCGAUUGGAUUUAAUAAAUUUUGAAACUUUAGUGAGUAGGAGGGUAUAAUGGUGUGCAUAGAAGUGUUUGGCGUAAGCCUGCAUGGAGCCGCCAUUAGUACAGAUCUUGGUGGUAGUAGCAAAUAAUCGAAUGAGAUCUUGGAGGACUGAAGUGGAGAAGGGUUUCGUGUGAACAGUGGUUGAUCACGAGUUAGUCGGUCCUAAGUUUAAUGCGAAAGCUGAAUAUUUUCAAAGUUUCAAUAUAUAUAUACAUAAAAUUAUUAUAAUAUUAAUAUACUUUGAAUUAUAUAAUUUAAACGAAAGGGAAUACGGUUCCAAUUCCGUAACCUGUUGAGUAUCCGUUUGUUAUUAAAAAUGGGCCAUUGUGCUCAUCCUGGUAACAGGAACGACCAUAAAGAAGCCGUCGAGAGAUAUCGGAAGAGUUUUCUUUUCUGUUUUAUAAUCGUACUACCAUGGAAGUCUUUCGAAGAGAGAUAUGGUAGAUGGAUUAGAAGAGCAUGACAUUUACUGUUGUGUCGAUAUUAUCUCCUCGGACCUUGAAAAUUUAUGGUGGGGUCACGCAAAUCUCUCAACAGGCCGUACCGAUAUCCGCAGCUGGUCUCCAAGGUGAAGAGUCUCUAGUCGAUAGAAUAAUGUAGGUAAGGGAAGUCUUUAAGGAGUUUUUAACAAGAGGUGUCAGAAAAGUUACCACAGGGGUAACUGGCUUGUGGCGGCCAAGCGUUCAUAGCGACGUCGCUUUUUGAUCCUUCGAUGUCGGCUCUCCCUAUCAUUGUGAAGCAAAAUUCACCAAGCGUUGGAUUGUUCACCCAUGCAAGGGAACGUGAGCUGGGUUUAGACCGUCGUGAGACAGGUUAGUUUUACCCUACUAAUGACAAUAUGUUAUUGCGACAGCAUUCCUGCGUAGUACGAGAGGAACCGCAGGUACGGACCAAUGGUACAAUACUUGUUCGAGCGAACAGUGGUAUGAUACUACGUCCGUUGGAUUAUGCCUGAACGCCUCUAAGGUCGUAUCCGCGCUGGACUGCAAUGAUAAAUAUGGGGCAAUUGCAUUGUAUGGCAUGUAAAUUAUUUUUUAAGUUUUAUAAGCAAUUAUAAAACGAUAGAUAAAUAAUUAAAUGUGACGCCAAUGUUAUAUGUAAUUUAGCUAAUGUAAGAGGAUUAAAUAUCACUUGCAUGUUACGCUUUCUUUUAAUUACACAUAUUUAAAACAUUAUUUAAUACAAUGACAAUGCCUAGAAUCAAUUGUAAACGACUUUGGUAACGGGCAAGGUGUUGUAAG
rnacentral:rRNA from 1 species